rnacentral:rRNA from 1 species
GACGAACGCUGGCGGCGUGCUUAACACAUGCAAGUCGAACGGAGCACCCUUGAUUGAGGUUUCGGCCAAAUGAUAGGAAUGCUUAGUGGCGGACUGGUGAGUAACGCGUGAGGAACCUGCCUUUCAGAGGGGGACAACAGUUGGAAACGACUGCUAAUACCGCAUGACGCAUUUUGAUCGCAUGGUCGAAAUGCCAAAGAUUUAUCGCUGAAAGAUGGCCUCGCGUCUGAUUAGCUGGUUGGUGAGGUAACGGCCCACCAAGGCGACGAUCAGUAGCCGGACUGAGAGGUUGACCGGCCACAUUGGGUCUGAGAUACGGCCCAGACCCCUACGGGAGGCAGCAGUGGGGAAUAUUGGGCAAUGGGCGCAAGCCUGACCCAGCAACGCCGCGUGAAGGAAGAAGGCUUUCGGGUUGUAAACUUCUUUUAAGUGGGAAGAGUAGAAGACGGUACCACUUGAAUAAGCCACGGCUAACUACGUGCCAGCCGCCGCGGUAA